UGAUUUCAGCAAGGCAUUUGACAAGGUGCCCCAUGAUAUUCUUGUAAAGAAGCUGGUAAAAUGCGGUCUUGACUAUGCUACCACUCAGUGGAUUUGUAACUGGCUGACUGACCGAACCCAAAGGGUGCUCAUCAAUGGUUCCUCUUCAUCCUGGAGAAGAGUGACUAGUGGGGUGCCACAGGGUUCUGUCUUGGGCCCGGUCUUAUUCAACAUCUUUAUCAACGACUUGGAUGAUGGACUCAAGGGCAUCCUGAUCAAAUUUGCAGAUGACACCAAACUGGGAGGGGUGGCUAACACCCCAGAGGACAGGAUCACACUUCAAAAUGACCUUGACAGAUUAGAGAACUGGGCCAAAACAAACAAGAUGAAUUUUAACAGGGAGAAAUGUAAAGUAUUGCACUUGGGCAAAAAAAAUGAGAGGCACAAAUACAAGAUGGGGGACACCUGGCUUGAGAGCAGUACAUGUGAAAAGGAUCUAGGAGUCUUGGUUGACCACAAACUUGACAUGAGCCAACAGUGUGACAUGGCAGCUAAAAAAGCCAAUGCAAUUCUGGGCUGCAUCAAUAGGAGUAUAGCAUCUAGAUCAAGGGAAGUAAUAGUGCCACUGUAUUCUGCUCUGGUCAGACCUCACCUGGAGUACUGUGUCCAGUUCUGGGCACCACAGUUCAAGAAGGACACUGACAAACUGGAACGUGUCCAGAGGAGGGCAACCAAAAUGGUCAAAGGCCUGGAAACGAUGCCUUA